rnacentral:tRNA from 1 species
GAAACGUUAGCUCAAUGGAAGAGCUCUGGUUCUGCAAACUAGAUGUUGUGGGUUCGAGUCCCAUGUGUUUCG